AGAUUGAACGCUGGCGGCAGGCCUAACACAUGCAAGUCGAGCGGUAGAGAGGUGCUUGCACCUCUUGAGAGCGGCGGACGGGUGAGUAAUGCCUAGGAAUCUGCCUAGUGGUGGGGGAUAACGUUCGGAAACGGACGCUAAUACCGCAUACGUCCUACGGGAGAAAGCGGGGGACCUUCGGGCCUCGCGCCAUUAGAUGAGCCUAGGUCGGAUUAGCUAGUUGGUGAGGUAAUGGCUCACCAAGGCGACGAUCCGUAACUGGUCUGAGAGGAUGAUCAGUCACACUGGAACUGAGACACGGUCCAGACUCCGUACGGGAGCAGCAGGUGGGGAAUAGUUGGACAAUGGGACGAAAGCCUGAUCCAGCCAUGCCGCGUGUGUGAAGAAGGUCUUGAUUGUAAAGCUAACGUUUAAGUGGGAAGGUAAGGUUAGUAACGUUUAAGUACGUUGUACUAACGUUUGACCGUUACCGA
rnacentral:rRNA from 1 species